rnacentral:rRNA from 1 species
UACGGGGGGGGCAAGCGUUGUUCGGAAUUACUGGGCGUAAAGGGCUCGUAGGUGGCCAACUAAGUCAGACGUGAAAUCCCUCGGCUCAACCGGGGAACUGCGUCUGAUACUGGGUGGCUUGAAUCCGGGAGAGGGAUGCGGAAUUCCAGGUGUAGCGGUGGAAUGCGCAGAUAUCAGGAGGAACACCGGUGGCGAAGGCGGGUCUCUGGGCAGUAACUGACGCUGAGGAGCGAAAGCGUGGGGAGCGAACAGG